UGGGGAAUAUUGGGCAAUGGGCGCAAGCCUGACCCAGCAACGCCGCGUGAAGGAAGAAGGCUUUCGGGUUGUAAACUUCUUUUCUUGGGGACGAACAAAUGACGGUACCCGAGGAAUAAGCCACGGCUAACUACGUGCCAGCAGCCGCGGUAAUACGUAGGUGGCAAGCGUUAUCCGGAUUUAUUGGGUGUAAAGGGCGUGUAGGCGGGAAUGCAAGUCAGAUGUGAAAACUAUGGGCUCAACCCAUAGCCUGCAUUUGAAACUGUAUUUCUUGAGUGCUGGAGAGGCAAUCGGAAUUCCGUGUGUAGCGGUGAAAUGCGUAGAUAUACGGAGGAACACCAGUGGCGAAGGCGGAUUGCUGGACAGUAACUGACGCUGAGGCGCGAAAGCGUGGGGAGCAAACAGG
rnacentral:rRNA from 1 species